rnacentral:misc_RNA from 1 species
GCCUUGGCCCCUUCCCCCCUUUUCGCCCACCAAAAACACAAAGCAACUCUCCUGAGGCUAGCCCGACUGCAAGGCGCAGGGUAGGUGGGAAUAAUGGCUGCACUUUUUCCGUGGGUGCCAACGUCGAAUCUGGGCUACUCUUUAUCGCGUAGGGUGGUGAACAAAUGGUGCCCGCAACUCCGCAGCUCGUAUCCGCUUCCUAUGCUGGACGGACCGUUCCCCACCGAGAAGCCUGAGGGUCUCGAGCUGCAUGGAGAGACCCAGAAACCGGACCCGUUCCGCUACAUGGAAGACUUGUUCGACCGGAACACUCAAGAAUAUACGAAAAAGGAGAUGCAGCACUUCUCCCUGAUUAGCAGUAAGUUUGACUUUCGACAUUCCAAGGGUCGUUUGUGGGCGGAGCUUGAUGCCAAGGUGGUGGUGAGCAGCCGUGAGGGCGGAUACGACAAGGGCGAGGAGCGCAUCGGUGACUACGUGUACUUUACCCGUGUCGUACCCGGGCACGACUCGAAUGCGAUAGGGUUUUACCGGAAGCGAUUUGGGGAGGUUGAUCUCCUGGCCGAGGAACUCAUCAACCCUCUCUUCCUCCAGCAACACUUCGGCUACAAGGACUGUUCCAUUGGUAUCUGCCGCGUCUCAGAAGACGGCCGCUACCUCGCAUACACCCUUUCGGUGGAGGGUGGCGACAGGUAUUUGUGCCACAUUCGCAGUGUUGACAAUGCCACCCUGUUUCACGUGAUUCGCGGUACAAACAUCGUGAGCAUCGAGUUUGGCUCCGGCAACCAGUUUUUCUACACCGAGUCGAACGAGUUGAACCGGCCUCACCGCGUCAUGAUGCAGGAAAUACGACCCGGCAUAUUAGAGCCACCGGUGGAGAUUUACCGUGACGACGACGAGCAGUUUUUCGUGGAUGUGCGCAAGACGAAGGAUAACAAGUACGUCACGAUAACCUCGGACUCGAAGGUGAACUGCAACGCGCUAGUCGUGCCCGCAUCCUUCCCUGUUAUUCCGACCCCUCUCAAGUCCUUCUUCAAGGAGGGCAAGCCGCUCGAGAUUGCAGGGAAGUCAGGAUGGAACUGGCUGGAUCACUACAACGGCAGCUUUGUCAUGGUGACAUCCGACAAGGGGCCGAACUACCGUGUGGUGUACAUUCGCGACGAGGUGGCGCUGGCUUAUGGGAAGGAGGCGGAGUGGAAAGAGCUUGUGCCGCACCGCGACAACGUGCAAAUCGAUGACGUCGAUCUGUUCCACGGUCGCAUCAUCCUUCACGAGUCGCACUUCGCCUUCGAGCGCAUUCAGCACAUCCGCGUCAUCAAGUGCGACGGCGGCCUCGACGCCGCUGCGCAGACACCACGAAGCGAGGACGUGGUGCUGCACUUUCCCCCGCUAAGCACGGUGACCCCAGGCCUGAACAAGAACUUUAGGCAAAAGGCAAUGAGCUUCGUCUACAGCAGCCUGAUUCAGCCGCCGCGCGACUGUGUCUUCAACUUCGACUCUGACAUCACGCCUAGCCAGGCGAGGCUGUGCGCGUCUGAGGCGCUCUUCACACAACGCCAGUCGGAGCACUUCACGCCGUGGGAUUACAUGUGGCCCUACAGCAUCUACCGCGAUGUCUGCGUCUCGGAAGACGGGACGGAGAUCCCAAUAACGAUAUGCCAGCGCCGUGACGCAUUCAUUCAGGAAGCGACGGACUUUGAGGCGCAGCCCAACAUGCCCAAGCACUGCCUCAUCUACGUGUACGGCUCCUACGGCGAAGUUCCGUCGAUGCACUUCCAGCUGGCCCCGUACAUGUGGAUGUUGCGGCGACGUUGGACCGUUGCCUUCGCGCACGUCCGUGGCGGCGGCGAGCUGCCCAACUGGGCACAGUUGGGGAAGGGAGAGAACAAAAUCAAGUCUAUCCAGGACUUCAUCGCGUGCUGCGAGCACAUGGUGGACAUGGGCUACACAAAGCCAGAGCUGAUGGUGGCUGCGGGGGCGAGCGCCGGCUGUGUACCGAUUGCGGCAGCCAUGAACAUGCGCGGGUGUGGGCUGUUCGGCAAUGUACUGAUGCGGUCGCCGUUCCUGGAUAUCAUUAACACCAUGAUAGAUCCCGACCUCCCUCUUUCACUCGCCGAGCGCGAGGACUGGGGUGACCCGCUCAACAACAAGAGAGACCUGGACCUGCUCAAGCAGUACGACCCAUACUACAACUUGAACGACCGUGUGACGUACCCUGGAAUGAUGAUAUCGGCCUGCCUCGAUGACGACCGUGUUCCGGCUUGGAACGCGCUCAAGUACGUGGCAAAGCUGCGGCAGCAGCGCACCCGCAAGGACGUGGACCCGGUCGCUCGCCCUCUGGUGCUGCGCAUGCGACCAAGCGGCGGCCACUACUUCUGGGGCGACACAGAGAACAUCUGCGAGGAGCUUGCGUUUCUGUGUUCGCAGUUGGACCUUGAGGGUCCUGGCAAGAUGCUUAACGACAUGGAUGUCAUGACCCACAUGCACAACCUUACCGCCACCGGUGCCAUGGAUCACGACGACCAGCAAAAGGUGUUCCUGAAAUGGGAUAACUGGGAGAGGGAGCGCAUUGACUACCACGUGAAGCUGAACUCCUUCAAUUGGGAGCCGAACUUCCGCACGGUGAAGGCUCGGAAGGAGCCGUUCUUCUGGGUGCCGACGGACUCGGAGCUUGACCAGAAGAAGGUGGACGAAAUUUUUCGUGCAAAGGAACGCGACGCCCGAGAGAGCGUUCGCUCUGGGGCGAAGCUGGGGAGCUUUGGCAAGGCAACCGGUCGCAACCUCUAUCGAGAGGAGCAGCGCGGGAAGCCGUAGUCUCUACGAUGGCGUGUGCAAAGCGCCUCCGUGGCGGUGGUGUGUGAGCGCAGGAUGGAGUCGACCCCGUGUGCGUUAUGAUGGUUCGGAUGUGUACAAUCGUCGUGAGCCACCGUUAGCUCUCACAG